CAUGGUUACAAGGAAACAGAGAGAGACAGACUGCGAUCUGGGAGUGGAGGAGGCCAUCUCCACAAAUGGAAUUUGAAAGGACAUUGCAAGAAAAUUGCUGAGACAGUGAAGGGAUGUGGGUGUCUCUGGCCAGGACUACAUUUGUGUCCAUCCCUAGUGGCCCUUGAGGAGGUGGUAAUGAGCUGCCUUCUUGAAAUGCUGCAGUCCAUGUGGCGAAGGUACACCUGCUGUUUUGGAGAUGAAAUGACUGACCUGCAACAAACACAACUAUCUUUUUGAGCCAGGAAGCAAGGAGGAGGACACAGCCCUUUCAAUGGAGCCAAGGUGGAGAUGGCGGACAGCAUCCAGUUCCUGGGAGCGAUGAUCACCGACAAUCUGUCCUGGACCACCCAUGUUGAUGGAAUGGUCAUGAAGGCACAACAACACCUCUUCUUCCUCAGGAGGCUGGCAAAAUUUAAAACAUCCAUAAAGACUCUCACCAACUUUUACAGAUGCACCGUUGAAAAUUUCCUAUCUAGGUGCAUCAUUGCUUGGUACAGCAACUGCUCUGCCCAGAACUGUAAGAAACUAUAGAGUUGUGAACACAGCCCAGUCCAUCACACAACCUUCCAUCCAUUGACUCCAUCUAUGCUUCUUAACGCCUCAGGAAGGCAGCCAACACCAUUAAAAGACCCUUCCCACCCUUGUUACUAAAACGCUUCCAACUCCUUCCAUCAGGCAAAAAAUACAAAAACUUAAUCACAGGUACCAACAGGUUCAAGAACAGCUUCUACCCCACUGUUAUUAGACUUCGGUAUGGACCUCUCAAAUUGCAAAUCUAAUACUGAUCUUGCUGUUUGUGCACUUUCUUUACAGCUGUAACUUUGUUUUCCUCAUUAUGUUCUAUCAUCCUGUGAUUUUUGUAUAGUAUGACCUGCCCAAACUAUAUGCAAAUCAAAACUUUUCAC